rnacentral:rRNA from 1 species
GACGAACGCUGGCGGCGUGCCUAAUACAUGCAAGUUGAGCGCUGAAGGUUGGUACUUGUACCAACUGGAUGAGCAGCGCACGGGUGAGUAACGCGUGGGGAAUCUGCCUUUGAGCGGGGGACAACAUUUGGAAACGAAUGCUAAUACCGCAUAAAAACUUUAAACACAAGUUUUAAGUUUGAAAGAUGCAAUUGCAUCACUCAAAGAUGAUCCCGCGUUGUAUUAGCUAGUUGGUGAGGUAAAGGCUCACCAAGGCGAUGAUACAUAGCCGACCUGAGAGGGUGGGCGGCCACAUUGGGACUGAGACACGGCCCAAACGCCUACGGGAGGCAGCAGUAGGGAAUCGUCGGCAAUGGACGAAAGUCUGACCGAGCAACGCCGCGGGAGUGAAGAAGGUUUUCGGAUCGGAAAACUCUGUUGGUAGAGAAGAACGUUGGUGAGAGUGGAAAGCUCAUCAAGUGACGGUAACUACCCAGAAAGGGACGGCUAACUACGUG